rnacentral:rRNA from 1 species
GGUCUUAUGAUCAUUUAUUUAAGAUCUGACCUGCUCAAUGCUUAUGUCAAUAGCCGCGGUAUAUUGACCGUGCGAAGGUAGCAUAAUAAUUAGGCUAUUAAUUAUGGUCUUGUAUGAAUGGUUAGACAUAGGAAAUUCUUUUUUAUUUGUAUUGUUGAAUUUAAAUAAUUAGUAAAAAUGCUAAUAUGAGUUAAAAAGACGAGAAGACCCUAUUGAGUUUUAUAUUUAAGUUUUUUAAUCUGUUUGUUGUUGUUAAUGAUAAAAAUAUUUGGUUGGGGUGAUCGUUUUAAUUAAACAUUAUAGAUUAUUUGUUUUAAUUUUUGAUCCAUUAUUAGUGAUUAAUAGAAUAAAUUACCAUAGGGAUAACAGCAUAAUUUAUUUGGAAAGUUCUUAUUGAUAAAUAAGUUUGUGACCUCGAUGUUGGAUUAAGAUUCCUAUUAGGUGUAGGUGCUUAAUUAGGUGGACUGUUCGUCCAUUAAAAUCUU